AUUAGCUUUUUCUUAAUGGAUAGUUUUAAGGGUGUUUUUAAACUUAGGAUAGGAAGAUCUUUGUUACAAGAUUUUGAUUUAUUCAUGAGUUUUGGAACUUGAAAGAAUUGCAACCAAAAUAAGACAAAUGGCCUAUGUAGGUUUCGACCAUAGUGAGCUUUCAUAGUUGUGAUUGGUUUAAAUUUUUCUGAGUUGAGAUUUGAGUUUGGGACAAAAUUUACAUGAGGAAUGUAAAUUUUGAUAAUUUUUUGGAAUUAGGAUAUCAAAUCCUUAAGUUAGGGGGUAAAAUGGUCAUUUGCCCACAUGUAGAGGGUAAAAUGGUAAUUUUACUCUAAGUUGUCUCUUUUCACAUUUCUAAUUGUUAGUAAUUAAUUUCUAACUUUUAGAAUAACCUUUUACAGUUCCUCGUAUUUCGCAUUUUAUUCUAGUAGAACGCGACGAUCGAGAUUUUGUUAUAGGAUCUGAAGGAGAACCGGGAAUCGACCAAUUGGAAACGGCCGACUAAGCGACGGUGCGACGUAGAUGGUAUUACAAUAGUUACCUCAGAUUACUACUUAUAUUGGUGGAGUUCAAUCUCCAGCACUCUUUUGAUCACAACCUUAUGGACUAUUAUUGUGAUCUUAGUUGUUUAGUA